rnacentral:rRNA from 1 species
CAAAUUUGAAAUCUGGCCCCUAGGGUCCGAGUUGUAAUUUGCAGAGGAUGCUUUUGGCGAGGCGCCUUCCGAGUUCCCUGGAACGGGACGCCAUAGAGGGUGAGAGCCCCGUCUGGUCGGAUGCCAAGCCUAUGUAAAGCUCCUUCGACGAGUCGAGUAGUUUGGGAAUGCUGCUCAAAAUGGGAGGUAUAUGUCUUCUAAAGCUAAAUAUUGGCCAGAGACCGAUAGCGCACAAGUAGAGUGAUCGAAAGAUGAAAAGCACUUUGAAAAGAGGGUUAAAAAGUACGUGAAAUUGUUGAAAGGGAAGCGCCUAUGACCAGACUUGGGCCCGGUGAAUCAUCCAGCGUUCUCGCUGGUGCACUUUGCCGGGCACAGGCCAGCAUCAGUUUGGCGCGGGGGAUAAAGGCUUUGGGAAUGUGGCUCCCUCGGGAGUGUUAUAGCCCAUUGCGUAAUACCCUGCGCCGGACUGAGGUACGCGCAUUGCAAGGAUGCUGGCGUAAUGGUCAUCAGCGACCCGUCUUGAAACACGGACCAAGGAGUCGUCUUCGUAUGCGAGUGUUCGGGUGUCAAACCCCUACGCGUAAUGAAAGUGAACGCAGGUGAGAGCUUCGGCGCAUCAUCGACCGAUCCUGAUGUUCUCGGAUGGAUUUGAGUAAGAGCAUACGGGGCCGGACCCGAAAGAAGGUGAACUAUGCCUGUAUAGGGUGAAGCCAGAGGAAACUCUGGUGGAGGCUCGCAGCGGUUCUGACGUGCGAAUCGAUCGUCAAAUAUGGGCAUGGGGGCGAAAGACUAAUCGAACCUUCUAGUAGCUGGUUUCCGCCGAAGUUUCCCUCAGGAUAGCAGUGUUGAACUCAGUUUUAUGAGGUAAAGCGAAUGAUUAGGGACUCGGGGGCGCUAUAUUGCCUUCAUCCAUUCUCAAACUUUAAAUAUGUAAGAAGCCCUUGUUACUUAAUUGAACGUGGGCAUUCGAAUGUAUCAACACUAGUGGGCCAUUUUUGGUAAGCAGAACUGGCGAUGCGGGAUGAACCGAACGCGAGGUUAAGGUGCCGGAGUGGACGCUCAUCAGACACCACAAAAGGUGUUAGUACAUCUUGACAGCAGGACGGUGGCCAUGGAAGUCGGAAUCCGCUAAGGACUGUGUAACAACUCACCUGCCGAAUGUACUAGCCCUGAAAAUGGAUGGCGCUCAAGCGUCCCACCCAUACCUCGCCCUCA